CUGGCCACCCCCGUGCUGAAAAAAAAGUAAUAUGAUUUUACACGCGAGCGCCAAAAGCGGAACUAAUGUGACGCAACGUUCUACACGGGUAAAUUAGUGCAGCGCACCCGAACACUUAGGACGUUAAUCAUAUUCAGGGAUGCAAACAUCGCGCUUUUCGGCGCCUCCCGUUUUUUUCACAUCAGUUUGGGUGACUUGGACAGAAGACUAUUUACAUCAUUACAUUAAAGUUUACGGAAACGUUGUUUUCCCUCCUCUGCAGCUCUCAAUCGUUCUCCAUAUUCAAAUAGCGCGCACCUCGUCCAUUUACAGCAGGAUGCAUGAGGAAUAGGGAGUAACUGGAGGAAUUUUGAGAUGGAACAGAUUACCCAUAAUUCACGGGGAUAACUUAACUGGACCUGUUUCCUGUCUGUCUGCGGAUCUGAGCAGAGCUGAGCGUUUGGAGCUGGUUUGUUAACUCACGUGAGAAAUGAGGGUAACAGUAGCUGUGGCGUCUGCUUCACUCAGAUCGGUUCGAGGUGGAAGGGCUUGUUCGAGCCACAUUUCAUCACGUUACACUGGAUUUCUUAAAGGUUUAAAACAAUGCGCUGCGGAGGGAGGAGGCGAGUGAAAGGAAGAGCUGCGUCCCUCUCACCUGCUCUGAAGGUGUGUCGGUCUGACAGCUGAAACCAGAGACGCUUUUAAGGUUUCCGGUUACAAGCAGAAAAAUAGAGUGAGACCUGGACUGCUUCCUUUUAUCUGCUGGAACCCGACUGAAUGAUGAGAGACGCGUGGAUGAUGGAUUCAGUCGAGAGCAGUCCAGUGCUGUCAGUCAGAAAUCAACAGAUACCAGAACUACUGCAGUUAUUCUCACUGAUUUAAUGGGAUAAGGAAAAACGGCAAAAAUAACGGCUUGAAGGAGAUCAGAUAUUAUUUACUAUGAUUUUACUGUAGUAACAACUGCAGCGGGUAAUGUGCUGGCACCAGUGAUGGUACUUUAUCAUUUCCAUAUUUCUACAGCAUGUAUUUACAUGGUUCUCCAAGGUACUUUUCAAAAUAAUACUAUGCUUUUACCUUUACAGAUA